GAUGAACGCUAGCGGCAGGCCUAAUACAUGCAAGUCGAACGGGAUUGCGGUAGUAGCUUGCUACUACUGCAUGAGAGUGGCGCACGGGUGCGUAACGCGUGAGCAACCUACCCAUAUCAGGGGGAUAGCCCGGCGAAAGUCGGAUUAACACCGCAUAACAUCAACAGUUCGCAUGUUCAGUUGAUUAAAUAUUUAUAGGAUAUGGAUGGGCUCGCGUGACAUUAGCUAGUUGGUAGGGUAACGGCUUACCAAGGCAACGAUGUCUAGGGGCUCUGAGAGGAGAAUCCCCCAAACGGGUACUGAGACACGGACCAGACUCCUACGGGAGGCAGCAGUAAGGAAUAUUGGUCAAUGGGCGCAAGCCUGAACCAGCCAUGCCGCGUGCAGGAGGACUGCCCUAUGGGUUGUAAACUGCUUUUAUCAGGGAAUAAACCCCUUUACGAGUAGAGGGUUGAAUGUACCUGAAGAAUAAGGAUCGGCUAACUCCGUG
rnacentral:rRNA from 1 species